GCGCAAGCGUUGUCCGGAAUUAUUGGGCGUAAAGAGCUCGUAGGCGGUUUGUCGCGUCUGUCGUGAAAACCCACAGCUUAACUGUGGGCUUGCGGUGGGUACGGGCAGGCUUGAGUGCGGUAGGGGAGACUGGAAUUCCUGGUGUAGCGGUGGAAUGCGCAGAUAUCAGGAGGAACACCGGUGGCGAAGGCGGGUCUCUGGGCCGUUACUGACGCUGAGGAGCGAAAGCAUGGGGAGCGAACA
rnacentral:rRNA from 1 species